rnacentral:rRNA from 1 species
CCUACGGGAGGCAGCAGUGGGGAAUCUUCCGCAAUGGGCGAAAGCCUGACGGAGCAACGCCGCGUGAAGGAAUGAAGGCCUUCGGGUUGUAAAGAUCUGUUGUCAGGGACGAAUAAGCCAGGCGAAUAGACUGGUGUAUGACCGUACCUGAUUAGAAAGCUCCGGCUAAAUACGUGCCAGCAGCCGCGGUAAUACGUAGGGAGCAAGCGUGGUCCGGAAUUACUGGGCGUAAAGGGCGCGUAGGUGGGUGCUUAAGUCAGGUGUGAAACCUCUGGGCUCAACCUGGAGACUGCACUUGAAAGUGGGUAUCUUGAGGGCAGUAGAGGAAAGUGGAAUGCCUAGUGUAGCGGUGAAAUGCGUAGAUAUUAGGAGGAACACCAGUGGCGAAGGCGACUUUCUGGACUGUACCUGACGCUGAGGCGCGAAAGCGUGGGUAGCGAACAGGAUUAGAUACCCCUGUAGUC